AAAAAAAAAAAAAAAAAAACCGACAAAUCAAAAACAUACAUCAAUGCACCACGCCGAUUCGUCAACGCUCCAGCGCGCCGUGCGAUAUCGUCAGGAUGACCACAAGACAGCUCACCAUCAGCGACCCGGCGAUGAACGCGACGACGGCAACGCUGCCCCUGCUCGCGGGGAACUUGCCGCGGAUCACCCAAUACUGGCCCUCGAAGUAUCUGUGGAAGCCGAUGAGGAGCACGACGAUGGCGAUGCAGAGGAAUGUGGCGCCGAGCGGCUUGCCGAGGCUGCGGAGGCGAUUGCCGCUUUGGAUCUGUAGGAGGAUCUCGUUGGUGGUUAUGAUCUGGUCGUUGGAGAGGAGGCUGGAGGGGAGGUGAUGGGGGGGAAUGCGUUGGUGUUCGGGGGAGAGGAGGUUGUUUGUGGAAAAGGGUGAUGGGGCUUGUUGGUGUUGGGGUUGCUGCUGCUGCUGCUGUUGUUGUGCUUGCGACAGGUCGAAGAGGUGGCGGGCGUUUGAUUCCGUGAUGGAGCUGUUUAGGCGGAAGAGCUGGGUGACUGCGAUGCCGAUGGAGGCGAAGGCGAGAGAUGUGCGGAGCCAGGCGAGGAAUGUGCGCUCUGUGCCGGUUUUGGGCACUUGGUUAGUAGAGAUAUUCUUCUUUUAUUCUUGACGGGGCGGACUCCGGAGUCUGGCCGCUCAACGAGACGGGAGAAGGUGAUGGGAUGGAUAGGAUAUAGAUAUUCACCAAGUGCUAAAUGAUCUCUUGCGACGCUCCCCUUAUUCUCCAGCUCCACACUACCGUAUUUCUCCACUAUCCGCUUAUACUUGCGUGAUAUGCCCCCCAUCCAUUGUCCAGUGUUUGACCCUUGCCCAUCGAGACCACGGUCAUGUCUGUCGUUGGAUGCUUUCCGUUGCGGCUGUUGAUGUUGCGCUGGAUGUUGCUGAUAAUUUCCCCCAGCACAACCAUCACGGUCUACACAUUCAGUUGAUCGGUAAUUCCUCUCAGUUCCUUGGCCAUUGGAUGCAGCGAUCGGGGUAUCCUCGUUGGGAGCAGGAGUAGCGGCAGAAGCCGCUUGACGGAUGGAACGAUGAGACGAGCGAGAGGAGGCGAGGGAGUCGGAGAUGGUGCUCAGCGAUCUCUCGUAUGCGCUCUCUUGGCUCUGCCGUUUUGUUGCGGAAGUCAUUGUGGUUCGCGCGAGCGAAGAUGCCUAGUGCUUCAUAGCCCGAGUGAAGAAGACGCCAAGGGAGGUAUAUAGCUCUGGGAGAUAUGGAGCUGCUGGGAGAGAGGUUGGGCGAAGGAGUUCAAGCUCUCGAGAAACAGAGGGGGACCCAGAAACAAGUUUCAUUGGUGAGAACACGAAGCUUGGCCAUCCGGCUAAUGCAAGCCCAGCAUUUAGGCCAAAGCACCAAACAUCGGAAAAAUACGUGGGUUACAUGUACAGACUACACCGUACGUUCCGCACCGUCACAUUAGUGAAGAGAGACGAGAAGAGACUUGGAGCAUCCAUCGGAAUCACUGCUAUGUAUGCUUGUUGUUCUUACUGCAAAGAGAGAGCUGUGAGCAUCGGAGACGGCACUCGUAUGGGCACCUGUUCGGCUGACAUCCACAGCUCAAUGGUUCCACAGCCCGAUAUGAGCAUCAAGGUGUGGUGCAACAAUGAGCGAGCAUGUGGCUUGGUGCAGUAAUUAUGAGAUUUCAACUACGGGAUACCAGCUUUCCCACCGCGUCAACCACAUAUUUAGAAAAGAAGAGCGGGGAGCGGGGAAUGCACGGAAGAGAGAGCAUUCUCCAAUGAUGCUCGAAUAUUUUGAUAAAGGAGCC
rnacentral:sRNA from 1 species